AGAACGUCGUGAGACAGUUCGGUCUCUAUCCGCCGCGCGCGUGGAAACUUGAUGGAAGGCUGUCCCUAGUACGAGAGGACCGGGACGGACGAACCUCUGGUGUGCCAGUUGUUCCGCCAGGAGCAUUGCUGGUUGGCUACGUACGGGAGGGAUAACCGCUGAAAGCAUCUAAGCGGGAAGCCUACCUCAAGAUAAGAUUUCCCCGAGACUUUAUGUCUCCUAAAGAGCCGUUGAAGACUACGACGUUGAUAGGUUGGAUGUGGAAGCAUAGUGAUAUGUGAAGCUGACCAAUACUAAUUGCUC
rnacentral:rRNA from 1 species